rnacentral:rRNA from 1 species
AAUCUGCCUGGUAGUGGGGGAUAACGUCCGGAAACGGACGCUAAUACCGCAUACGUCCUACGGGAGAAAGCAGGGGACCUUCGGGCCUUGCGCUAUCAGAUGAGCCUAGGUCGGAUUAGCUAGUUGGUGGGGUAAUGGCUCACCAAGGCGACGAUCCGUAACUGGUCUGAGAGGAUGAUCAGUCACACUGGAACUGAGACACGGUCCAGACUCCUACGGGAGGCAGCAGUGGGGAAUAUUGGACAAUGGGCGAAAGCCUGAUCCAGCCAUGCCGCGUGUGUGAAGAAGGUCUUCGGAUUGUAAAGCACUUUAAGUUGGGAGGAAGGGCAGUAAAUUAAUACUUUGCUGUUUUGACGUUACCGACAGAAUAAGCACCGGCUAACUCUGUGCCAGCAGCCGCGGUAAUACAGAGGGUGCAAGCGUUAAUCGGAAUUACUGGGCGUAAAGCGCGCGUAGGUGGUUCGUUAAGUUGGAUGUGAAAUCCCCGGGCUC